rnacentral:lncRNA from 1 species
GCAGGACGGCCCCAGGGUUGGCCUGUGCUGAUGGUGCCACCUGGUGGUAGACAUGGGAACGCCCUCACCUGAGAUUUCCUCUCCGUGACCCUUCUUCCCCCUCUAGGGGUCCUGGGCUGCCCUGAGGCCACCGCCUAGCAAGAUCAAGAUAGGGCUUGAGCGGCAGUGGGAUAGGGCAGUGGGGGUUCCGGGGGGGUCCGGUGCAGGCAGAACCAAGAGUGUGCCGGCGGAGGGCUGUCGGUACAGGGUGCAGGGCGUGGCGGCUGCAGGACCUCAGCUUGCCUCUUUAAAUCCCUUCCUGGGCACCGCGGUGGCCCGGCCCUUUCCCCUCGUGCUGUUUCUGCUGGAAACGCCGCACAGUCUCCUCGGGGGCAGCCGCCAGCGGAAACGGUUAUUGGCCGCCAGGUGCUUAGGCCGAAAAUCAGGAAUCUCUUGAAUGAAUGCAUGAAGGUGGAGCCCUUUCCCUUAAUGCGCAGGUGAAAAGGGCACCUCGGUGGAUUCUACUAAAUUUAAUAGAAGACUUGAUGGAUUACAGAGGACUCCUGCUCCAGCUGUGGGGAACUCCAGCCCGCACUUUGCCUCCAGCCCGAUGGUGCAAGAUCCAGCUUCUCUUCAGCCUGGCAUCAAACGUCUUUUUGAUCAGCUUUUCAUCCAUUUUCUGAAAAUGUAGUGAUUGAGAGAUGUUCUGAAUCUUGCAGAAUUCUGUGUCGCACCCUGGCCACACAUCAAUGCAGGCCUGAACCUGACCCUGGGUGGACUCCCUGCUCUCUGCCAGCCCCUUUCUCACCCCUGGGUCCCCACGGCCCCUGGCUCUCUCCCCUCUGCUAGAAUCUCGCUGAGGGAUUGGUGGGGAGGGGGUGGUCACGCACUGGGUGGAGAUCUGGUGCCCCCUGGAGGCCGGACAGGAAGGGCCAGGGCGGACAAGGUCUUUGAGAACUCGGUGGCAUCCCGCUCCUGAUGGCCUGGGUCCCACCGCCCCUCCCCCAGCCUUCCUGACAGCAGAGGAGAUUGAUGGGGCGCUGCUCGAAUGUUCUUCAUCAGCGUCUUCAGUAAUAAGCUUCUCCAUUGGGUAACCGAUCCUAGUUUAGCAAAACCGUUUGUCAACCAUUUCCUCCCUUGAGCUUGAUAAGAACCCCGUGGGAGAGGAGAGAGGGGGGCCCCCCAGGAUCUGAAAAGCUGUGCCUCAGCCAAGUUCAUGAGUCACUGGCGAGGAGGCCUGUAGGUCAGCAAAGCCUAGGAGGUCAAGAGUGCCCACAUGGGGACCUACGGGCCUCAGGGCCGCAGGUUGCUGGGUUGGACCCUGGCUUGGAGCUCAGGAUAGAAACCCGGAAACCCCACAGGCAAAGAAGGAUGCAGAACAGAACAGGGCAGAACCAAGGACCCAGUGAGGGUGGCUGGCGUCAGAGCAAAUAUCAGAGUUCACAAGGUGAAAUAAUCCAAAAAUCUAUACAGAAAAAGCUAAUCAUUUUCUCCAAUCUCUCCCCCAAAGGUGUCUACUCCUGCAGGCUUACCUGUAACCUUUGUCACUCACUCUUCUGAUUCUGCAAACAUAUAAACCACGGAGCCACAGCCAAGAGAAUCUGGACUUGUUCGUUUUUCCUGAAAUAGGAUAUCUUAAAUAAUCCGUGGCUCAGCACUGCGCCCUUUUUUUUCUUUUCUUUUCUUUUUUUUUUUUUUUUUGAGACGGAGUCUCGCUCUGUUGCCCAGGCUGGAGUGCAAUGUCAUGAUCUUGGCUCACUGCAACCUCUGCCUCCUGGGUUCAAGCAACUCUCCUGCCUCAGCCUCCUGAGGAGCUGGGACUGCAGGUGCAAGACACCACGCCUGGCUAAUUUUUGUUAUUUUUAGUAGAGACAGUGUUUCACUAUGUUGGCCAGGCUGGUCUCGAACUCCUGACCUCAAAUGAUCUGCCUGCCUCGGCCUCCCAAAGUGCUGGGAUUACAGGCACAAGCCACAGCACCCAGCCUCACUGUGCCCUUUUCACUGGCAGGCAUUUUAUUGUCCCUACAGACCCAAGACGGGGUGGGGGAGACGUGCUUUGUGCUCACCUGGCUGGUUCAUGGGCAGGUGGCCUGGAGGACCCAGCCCUGGCAGCUGUGGGGUAGCUCCAGCCUGGGCCGGACAGCUUCUUUCAUCGCAGGCACCACUGCGGACAUUGCUGGGAGGAAGAGGAGGGAGAAGCGACGGGCUUCAUUAGGAACGGCUUUCGAUGGAUUGGACGAGGCGCGUCCACCCUGGGGAGGGCCAUCAUUUUAUUCAGUCUACUGAUGCAAAUGCUUAUCUCUUCUGGAAACACCUUCACAGACAGACCCAGAAUAUAGUUGAACCAAAUACUGGGCACCUCAUGGCUCCAACAGGUUGACACAAAAAAUGAACCAUUGCAGAAAACGAAGAACAGUCACCAACUCCCACCCAUGCAGCUGGCUCAUUUGCUGGGCUGCCCUCCCCAGCAGGUGGCACAGGAAUCCCUGCCUUGGCAGGGAGGAGGCCUGGGGUGUGUGCAGGUACCCAUGGGAAGUUUCUUUGCCAUGGGGAAAGCCAGAGUCACCCCUUGCUUGAACACAAGAGUUGGAGGUUUCAGUGAGCUGAGAUUACGCUAUUGCACUCCAGCCUGGGCGGCAGAGUGAGACUCUGUCUCUAGAUAAAUAAAUUAAAUAAAUAAAUAAAUAUAAUUUAAUAUAAAUAACUAGAAAUUUUUCAAUACUUGCAUCUCUGUAGGUUACCUCUGGAAGUGCAGGGCUUUGUCUUUUUGGAUUAACUCAGAAAUUAGACCUUCAGAAAACAACAUCAGCUCUGAUUCUCUGCACCCUUGAUGCUGCCGGUGGCGACUGCGGCUUCCUGAUGGAAAUGUAGACCUGAACAUAAGUCGCAGAAAAAUGCAGACUUGAGUUGGAGCUAAGCUGACUCAGAGCUGCCCUAGAAAGAGGCCCCGUGGCAAAGAACCAAAGGCACCCAGCAACACGAGUGAGGGUGGAAGUGGCUCUUUCCCCAUUCCAGCCUCGCGGUGACCGCAGCCCUGGCUGACACCUUGCUUGCAGCCUGGUGAGAGACAGCAGCCCGAGGACCCUGCUAAGCUGCACCCAGGCUCCUGACCCAUGGAAACUGUGAGAUGAUAAACAUGUACUGCUUAAGCUGAGAUUCGGGCUAAUUUGUUACACAGUCAUAGACAUCGUUUUUUGUUGUUGUUGUUUUUUGAGAUGGAGUCUCACUCUGUCGCCCAGGCUGGAGUGCAGUGGCACAAUCUCAGCUCACUGCAACAUCCACCUCCCAGGUUCAAGCGAUUCUCGUGCCUCAGCCUCCCAAGUAGCUGGGAUUACAGGCAUCUGCCACCAUGCCCGGCUAAUUUUUUUGUAUCUUUAGGAGAGACAGGGUUUCACCAUGUUGGCCAGCUGGUCUCAAACUCCUGAGCUCAAGAGAUCUGCCCACCUUGGCCUCCCAAAGUGCUGGGAUUACAGGCAUGAGCCACUGUGCCCGGCCUGUUACACAGUCAUAGACAUCUAUAAAAUACUCAACACGGUGCCGGCGCAUGGCAAGCAUCAGUUACUGACCACGGUGACCCUUCUGUGUACACCAGGGGAACUCAAAAUACUCAGGAAAUCUAAGCAUAUAAGCCUAGUCACCAGGCUGUCGACAUGACCCUUAACAAUGAACCUGUGUCUUUUGCCACCUCAUGAUGUCAUAGAAGAAGAGCAGCAUCAAUGUUAAGAGUCUGGAGGAGGGACUAGAUGCUGUGGCUCACACCUGUAAUCCCAGCACUUUGGGAGGCCGAGGCAGGUGGAUCACCU